GAUGAACGCUGGCGGCGUGCCUAACACAUGCAAGUCGAGCGGACGGACGAGGCGUUUGCUUGGCUGAUGUUAGGGGCGGACGGGUGAGUCACACGAGUAUACCUUACCUAUAAGACUGGGAUCACUACGGGAAACCGGAGAUAACACCGGAUAAUAUUUUGAACCGCAUGGUUCAUAAGUGAAAGACGGUCUUGCUGUCACUAAUAGAUGUAUCCGGGCUGGAUUAGCUAGUUGGUACGGUAACGGCUUACCAAGGCUACGAUGCAUAGCCGACCUGAGAGGCUGAUCGGCCACACUGGAACUGAGACACGGUCCAGACUCCUACGGGAGGCAGCAGUAGGGAAUCUUCGGCAAUGGGCGAAAGCCUGACGCAGCAACGCCGCGUGUGUGAUGAAGGUCUUCGGAUCGUAAAGCUCUGUUAUUGGGGAUGAACAGCUGUGUAAUGAACCGUGGACAUCUUGACGGUACCUAAUCAAAAAGCAACGGCUAACUACGUG
rnacentral:rRNA from 1 species